rnacentral:rRNA from 1 species
UCUACGGGUGGCAGCAGUGGGGAAUAUUGGGCAAUGGGCGCAAGCCUGACCCAGCAACGCCGCGUGAAGGAAGAAGGCUUUCGGGUUGUAAACUUCUUUUCUCAGGGACGAAGCAAGUGACGGUACAUGAGGAAUAAGCCACGGCUAACUACGUGCCAGCAGCCGCGGUAAUACGUAGGUGGCAAGCGUUAUCCGGAUUUACUGGGUGUAAAGGGCGUGUAGGCGGGAAAGGAAGUCAGAUGUGAAAACCAUGGGCUCAACCUGUGGCCUGCAUUUGAAACUGUUUUUCUUGAGUACUGGGGAGGCAGACGGAAUUCCUGGUGUAGCGGUGAAAUGCGUAGAUAUUAGGAGGAACACCAGUGGCGAAGGCGGUCUGCUGGACAGCAACUGACGCUGAGGCGCGAAAGCGUGGGGAGCAAACAGGAUUAGAUACCCCUGUAGUC